UCUUGGUCAGGACGAACGCUGGCGGCGUGCCUAACACAUGCAAGUCGAGCGAGGAGAUUCCCUUCGGGAUGAACCUAGCGGCGGACGGGUGAGUAACACGUGGGCAACCUGCCUUAUAGAGGGGAAUAGCCUUCCGAAAGGAAGAUUAAUACCGCAUAACAUUACAUUUUCGCAUGAAGAAGUAAUUAAAGGAGUAAUCCGCUAUAAGAUGGGCCCGCGGCGCAUUAGCUAGUUGGUGAGGUAACGGCUCACCAAGGCGACGAUGCGUAGCCGACCUGAGAGGGUGAUCGGCCACAUUGGGACUGAGACACGGCCCAGACUCCUACGGGAGGCAGCAGUGGGGAAUAUUGCACAAUGGGGGAAACCCUGAUGCCAGCAACGCCGCGUGAGUGAUGAAGGUCUUCGGAUCGUAAAGCUCUGUCUUCAGGGACGAUAAUGACGGUACCUGAGGAGGAAGCCACGGCUAACUACGUGCCAGCCGCGGC
rnacentral:rRNA from 1 species